rnacentral:rRNA from 1 species
CCUACGGGAGGCAGCAGUGAGGAAUAUUGGUCAAUGGGCGAGAGCCUGAACCAGCCAAGUCGCGUGAAGGAAGACUGCCUUAUGGGUUGUAAACUUCUUUUAUAAGGGAAUAAAAGAGAUUACGUGUAAUCUAUUGCAUGUACCUUAUGAAUAAGCAUCGGCUAACUCCGUGCCAGCAGCCGCGGUAAUACGGAGGAUGCGAGCGUUAUCCGGAUUUAUUGGGUUUAAAGGGUGCGCAGGCGGCAGAUUAAGUCAGCGGUGAAAUCCCGACGCUCAACGUCGGCAUUGCCGUUGAAACUGGUUUGCUUGAGUGUAGAUGAAGUAGGCGGAAUUCGUUGUGUAGCGGUGACAUGCUUAGAUAUAACGAGGAACUCCAAUUGCGUAGGCAGCUUACUAAACUAUAACUGACGCUCAUGCACGAAAGCGUGGGGAUCAAACAG